rnacentral:rRNA from 1 species
GAUGAACGCUGGCGGCGUGCCUAAUACAUGCAAGUAGAACGCUGAAGCUUGGUGCUUGCACCGAGCGGAUGAGUUGCGAACGGGUGAGUAACGCGUAGGUAACCUGCCUCUUAGCGGGGGAUAACUAUUGGAAACGAUAGCUAAUACCGCAUAAAAGUCGACAUCGCAUGAUGUUGACUUGAAAGGUGCAAUUGCAUCACUAAGAGAUGGACCUGCGUUGUAUUAGCUAGUUGGUGAGGUAACGGCUCACCAAGGCGACGAUACAUAGCCGACCUGAGAGGGUGAUCGGCCACACUGGGACUGAGACACGGCCCAGACUCCUACGGGAGGCAGCAGUAGGGAAUCUUCGGCAAUGGGGGCAACCCUGACCGAGCAACGCCGCGUGAGUGAAGAAGGUUUUCGGAUCGUAAAGCUCUGUUGUAAGAGAAGAACGAGUGUGAGAGUGGAAAGUUCACACUGUGACGGAACUACCAGA